UGGGGAAUUUUGGACAAUGGGGGAAACCCUGAUCCAGCCAUCCCGCGUGUGCGAUGAAGGCCUUCGGGUUGUAAAGCACUUUUGGCAGGAAAGAAACGUCGCGGGUUAAUACCCCGCGAAACUGACGGUACCUGCAGAAUAAGCACCGGCUAACUACGUGCCAGCAGCCGCGGUAAUACGUAGGGUGCAAGCGUUAAUCGGAAUUACUGGGCGUAAAGCGUGCGCAGGCGGUUCGGAAAGAAAGAUGUGAAAUCCCAGAGCUUAACUUUGGAACUGCAUUUUUAACUACCGGGCUAGAGUGUGUCAGAGGGAGGUGGAAUUCCGCGUGUAGCAGUGAAAUGCGUAGAUAUGCGGAGGAACACCGAUGGCGAAGGCAGCCUCCUGGGAUAACACUGACGCUCAUGCACGAAAGCGUGGGGAGCAAACAGGAUUAGAUACCCUGGUAGUCCACGCCCUAAACGAUGUCAACUAGCUGUUGGGGCCUUCGGGCCUUGGUAGCGCAGCUAACGCGUGAAGUUGACCGCCUGGGGAGUACGGUCGCAAGAUUAAAACUUAAAUGAAUUGACGGGGGUCAUAGCUGUUUCCC
rnacentral:rRNA from 1 species